CAGCCGCCACGGGAAUACAGAGGGUGCGAGCGUUAAUCGGAUUUACUGGGCGUAAAGCGUGCGUAGGCGGCUUCUUAAGUCGGAUGUGAAAUCCCUGAGCUUAACUUAGGAAUUGCAUUCGAUACUGGGAAGCUAGAGUAUGGGAGAGGAUGGUAGAAUUCCAGGUGUAGCGGUAAAAUGCGUAGAGAUCUGGAGGUAUACCGAUGGCGAAGGCAGCCAUCUGGCCUAAUACUGACGCUGAGGUACGAAAGCAUGGGGAGCAAACAGGAUUAGAUACCCGUGUAGUCCCUGUCUCUUAUAC
rnacentral:rRNA from 1 species